rnacentral:rRNA from 1 species
GACGAACGCUGGCGGCGUGCUUAACACAUGCAAGUCGAACGGAAAGGCCCUGCUUUUGUGGGGCGCUCGAGUGGCGAACGGGUGAGUAACACGUGAGUAACCUGCCCUUGACUUUGGGAUAACUUCAGGAAACUGGGGCUAAUACCGGAUAGGAGCUCCUGCUGCAUGGUGGGGGUUGGAAAGUUUCGGCGGUUGGGGAUGGACUCGCGGCUUAUCAGCUUGUUGGUGGGGUAGUGGCUUACCAAGGCUUUGACGGGUAGCCGGCCUGAGAGGGUGACCGGCCACAUUGGGACUGAGAUACGGCCCAGACUCCUACGGGAGGCAGCAGUGGGGAAUAUUGCACAAUGGGCGGAAGCCUGAUGCAGCAACGCCGCGUGCGGGAUGACGGCCUUCGGGUUGUAAACCGCUUUCGCCUGUGACGAAGCGUGGGUGACGGUAAUGGGUAAAGAAGCACCGGCUAACUACGUG